AAGUCCAUUCAAACUUUUCAGCAAAUGUAACUUGGCUGUUUAAUGGCAAACCUCUGGAAAAAAAGUGGCAUUAUUCAUUUGCAUCUUGCAAACGAAAUUUACAAGUCAAAUACAUUUCAAAAAGUGAUGCAGGAUUCUACACAUGUGUUGUGACAAAUGAGAAGGGGAAACAGGCAUCAGCUCGUGCUAAGUUAAAUGUUAUUGCAAAAAGUCCCCCAGUUAUAGAGUCUGCAGGACUUGAACCUGGGGACACACCCUACAUUGGAGCCACAGUAUACAUAACCUGUCGCAUUCGAAGCUCUGAUCCAUUAGUAACUGGUUCAGUAUUGAAGGAUGGCACAAGGUUAAAUGAGGAUAAUAAACAACUGAAGUAUGAGUAUCAUCAUAUAAGA